rnacentral:misc_RNA from 1 species
CGUCAGUCGGCUUGUUUGACCCUCCUCUCUCGUGGGUGGGCGAUUGGCCCCUAGAUGGAAUGACCGUGUCGGCACCUGAGCGGUGAUGGAUUCGCAUGCCACGGCGGGCUCCCUUCCACUGUGCAGUCAACCGCCGUCGCUGCAGCCCCUUCACUCGUGCUCCAAGCACUCGGAGCCUCCCGCGUUGCCUGUAUAACAUACCCGGUUCUCGGGCAGAUGACUUCGUCCAACAUGCUCGUCCGCUCCCCUCGCCUUUGUGCGGGCGCGGAGCGGCAAUGUCGGCGGUCCUCGUGGUCCCUCGGAUGACGGCAUGGCUUUGGCCCCUCGUCUCGUCCCGAUCGGCCCUCGGGGAUUNGCCANCGCUCGUGGACACGGUAGACAAUGNUGGCUCGGGGCUUUUGUAGCCCCCGCACCAUGAUCGGUCGCUCACUUNGCCNCCCUNGACGACACGACCGUCGGGCC